rnacentral:misc_RNA from 1 species
GAUGAAGAACGUAGCGAAAUGCGAUAAUUAAUGUGAAUUGCAGAAUUCCGUGAAUCAUCGAGUCUUUGAACGCACAUUGCGCCUCAUGGCAUUCCGUGAGGCAUGCCCAUCUCAGCGUUAGAAAAUAUUCUCAAAUUUUAGUUUUGUGCUAAAAUUUGGAUCAUGUCAAAGAAGCUAUUACUAUUAUUGUGAUCGCUCUUUGGAAAUUGAUAGGUCUUUGAGUUGCUACUCAUAGAACGUGAUGAAUCUUUCUUCGUUCUAUUGUAAUUCACUCUGGUAGUCCUAAAACUUGUAUGCCUGUGGCAUAUCUUGUAAUUUGACCUGAGAUUGGUAGGGAUACCCGCUGAACUUAAGCAUAUCAAUAAGCGGAGGA